AUUGAACGCUGGCGGCAGGCCUAACACAUGCAAGUCGAACGGUAACAGGAAGAAGCUUGCUUCUUUGCUGACGAGUGGCGGACGGGUGAGUAAUGUCUGGGAAACUGCCUGAUGGAGGGGGAUAACUACUGGAAACGGUAGCUAAUACCGCAUAACGUCGCAAGACCAAAAAAGGGGACCUUCGGGCCUCUUGCCAUCGGAUGUGCCCAGAUGGGAUUAGCUAGUAGGUGGGGUAACGGCUCACCUAGGCGACGAUCCCUAGCUGGUCUGAGAGGAUGACCAGCCACACUGGAACUGAGACACGGUCCAGACUCCUACGGGAGGCGGCAGUGGGGAAUAUUGCACAAUGGGCGCAAGCCUGAUGCAGCCAUGCCGCGUGUAUGAAGAAGGCCUUCGGGUUGUAAAGUACUUUCAGCGGGGAGGAAGGGAGUAAAGUUAAUACCUUUGCUCAUUGACGUUACCCGCAGAAGAAGCACCGGCUAACUCCGUG
rnacentral:rRNA from 1 species